UCAGUUUAAGCGCUUAGGCCCUUUCAUCCAGAUGGUUAUUCUCGAAGCCAUCCGUUAAUCCAAUUAAUUAUGAACACAUGUAGAAGAAGUUAAACAGUUCCCUGCGUUUCAUAUUCUUCGAAGGGAGAGAAACAGAGAGACAUCACUUAAUAUGUUCCGUACCUUCCGUAGACCUUCAAAAUUCUUAGAAUAUUGUUGGAAGAACCACAACGGAAGAGUGCAGUUGAAGAGGAUCGAGAACAAGAUUAACAGGCAA